rnacentral:lncRNA from 1 species
AGAACAAAAAAAACAAUGAUAAUGUUUUGGCACAAAAGUUAUAUUCACAGUGAGAAUAAAAAUUGUCCCAAACCUGGUCUAGGGCAGAACUUUUUUGCAUGAUAUAAUUCACAACCUCCUCUGGGAUGUAAUUGGUGUUGCUGUUAAAAUGCUUGAGCGAUUUCCUGAUAGACCUAAAUAAGAUUAAGGACUUCUGGGAAGCCAGGGUUACCCACCCAGCUGACUGGCCAGCCUAAUAAUCUUUAACCAGACAUGAUUUUUUCUUGUAUCCAGUUUAACAAUGAUUAACCAUUCACUUUUUUUAUAGAAUCCCUAAAGAGAAUAUUGAAUCGGCACACUUAAAGGUUUCAUCCCUUGUGGCCAGCUUGAAACAAAAUUUUGGCCCAAACUUAUAAUCCAUUUGUCUAAGAAGGUGUUUUAACAACAUUUAGGAAGAAAUAUUGUAAAUUUUUUUACUACGUUGUGUGGGUAAGAAAUUUCAUUGAAAGGUAUUGAAUGUAUAUACAAGAGUCCUUAAGUAUAUGGAAAAUUGGUUUCUUUGAAAGCUGUGGGCACUUUGACUAAUGGAGAGAAAUUUCUUCUUUGGAUAACAUAAUUCAAACUUAGCUGUUGUCAUGCAGUAAAAGAUCUUCCUUCAGAUUCUUUCUAUGAGCAAACUGGUGCCUUGACCAUGGGAUCCAAGUGCCCUGAGGAAACAACAUCUCUUCAUAGGUGGAAACAGGAUUAACAUCAUGAUUUAAUUAUUAUACCAAAUACAUCAUGGAUAAUCUAUGGCCUUUAAUAAACCUAACAGUUAAAGGCUGAACUGGUAAGAAAUGAACUUCAUUUCUGCAUUUAAAAAAUACAUUUAAUCCAAUGGGAAAUAAAAAUGAAUGCUGGGAUAAAAAUUUAAACUUGAUCGUAAAUAAAUAAAAAUUGAAUGAAAUAUAAUAAAAGAAUAGGUUGUGUAUUUUAUGUAUUGUGUAUUAAUAUAUAUUUUAGAAAAUUAUUUUUUAUCAUGUCUGUACAACAACUUUGUUGACAUUAUCUGGAAACUGUUUUAGUUACCAAGGAAAGAUAAAUGAGCCUUUAAAUGUACAUAAUACCAUAGAGUGAAACCCAUAUUCCUAUACCUUUUGGGAUGCUAGAUUGUGCCAAAUGGCUCAAGGUGGCUCUAAAUUAGGCUCUAAAUUAGACCUCAAGGUUUGAGCAGAGCCACCAAUGACGGGUUGGGCCUCACCCUAUCCAAGGGUUGACCGGCUAGUAGUUUUCACACAGGAUUUAUGUUAAUAAGCAAAAUAGCAGACCAGCCCGGGUAAAUUAUACUGGCUUAUCUGCUUUCAUCAGCCCUGAGUCUACACCAAAAGAGAAUGAACUCUUGUAUUAAGGAAAUUGCAUAACUAUUUCACAGAAUUUUUAGACAGAUUAAAAGCAAUGAUGUAUAUAAUAUACUUAGCACAAUGUUCAGUGGAAACAGGAGGUACUUAAUAUUUAUUAUUUUUAAUAUAUUAAAUUGUUAAUAAGUGUAUUAGAUUAUUAUUUAAUAGACUAAAUUAAUCGUAUUUAUUAGCUCCUUCUCUCUCCCAAAGUCAAGAUUCACAUGUACGCAGGGUCAGGGACUGUCAGUGAGGAAAGCAUGAUAUAACCAAAAGAAUUAUGUCUGAAUAGUGCUUUAUACACUACAAAAUGCUUUAAUAUGCAUUAUUACACUUGGACCUUAGCUCACCAGCAACCACCCAAAGUGCUCUGUGUGACAAAAGUAAGUACAUGCAGUUUAUGGGUCACUGGGAACCUGGUAAAGAAGGAUGUUAUAUUGUAGCCACACUCCUAGAGGAGGUCUGAUGUCUGAGGGCUCUGACUCUCAGGUAACACCCACAGUCCAGGCCUCACCCCACGUCUCACAGUCACAAGACUCCAAUCUGGGCAAACAAGUGGAGGGAUUUCGGGAACAGCAGACUUCCAGCGCUAAAACUGGGAAAGUCUCUAGCAAACCAUGAUGGUCAGUCACCCUAAGUCUAAGAGAAAUCAACACCAACCCCCACAGGCCGAGAGUGCAAGAAAGGUAGCUAUCAGAGCUGUAGGAAACGUGCUGCUUAGCACACGCUGUAGGGCACCAAGGUUUCAUGGUGUGAGAACCUUACAUGUUGUUUGAUCUGGGAACACAGCUUCUCAAAGCUCUCAGCUUCCCAAGUGAAGACAGGAACGGGUUACAAAGCAUUUCUCACCAAAGCCCUGUCAGGGGUUCAGUGUUGGUGCCCUUCGCCCUCUAUGGUUCAGUCAUACUCUCCGAAACUUGUAGGUGUGUCCCCGCCUGCACUGGGUGACCACCCACCUCAGGUUUCCCUUCCCAGAAGCAGAUGUCUGUAGGAGGGCCAAGCAGCUUCGCUAUAGCAACUUUACAGCUGUGGCAAGAAACUGUCACAAUGUAAAGUAGAGGGCACCAUCUCCAAGCCUCUCCUUUAGAAAAGUCUAAAAACUCCCACUUGACACAGAAUUAAAGAACUUUAGGGGUGCCUGGUGACUCAGUAGGUUGAGCAUCUGACUCUCGAUUUCAGCUCAGGUCAUGAUCCCAGGGUCACGGGAUCAGGCCCCGCCUCAGGCUCCACACUGAACAUGCAGCCUACUUAGAAGUCUCUCUCUCUCUCUUUCCCUCUGCCCCUCUCCCACCCUCCUCUAAAAUUUAAAACAAAAAAAAAACAAAAAAACUUUAGGCCCUAAAAAAUCAUGACAUCUUUUGCUUUCAGUUUUGUUCCUCACCCCUGCAUUAGUUUCAGAGCCUGAUUCUGGAGCUCACAGCACAUUGCUCUGCCGAUUUUGGAUCUAGUGUAUAGGAGUUCACUGAAUUAUCUCCAGAAGAAAUGCUGAGUCAUAAGGCUGUGCAAGCUCAGAAGAGGCUAUAUUUAGGUGGGUAUCUUGCCAUCCAACUCAGCAACGUCUCAGUUCCCAUCCAGAGAAUCUGUUCCUCUCUCCAAAGAUCAAAACUCUGCUUUUUCAAAUUCUCCACAAGUGUGUGUGUGUGUGUGUGUGUGUGUGUGUGUGUGUGUGUGUGUUUGUAUUAAGGUGGGAGAAGAGGGAGAAAAUCCUCUAUGGCUUCCAACACUUAUCAGACAUGUCUCAUAAAGAAGGUGAGUCUCUAGUGAAAGAGAGGAGAGGAGUUUGGCUUGUGGUUUGAUACCCAUCCCCGAAAGGAAUACAGCUGAAAUGGGGUGUCAAACAAAACUGCAGUUUUGCCAUCAAUGCAGCUAUCAUGGCAGCAGCUUCCACAAGAUCAAGAUGUUGGAGGCUGAAGGGCUCUGAGACAAAUCUGUAAGCCAGAGAGCCAGGGAGUAAGGCUGUAGGGAAUCCUCUACUUACCAUAUUAUUGAAAUAGUUUAGAAAAAGAAAAAAAUCUUUCAUAGAAAAACAUGGCUAUAUAAGCUUCUAAGAGGCUUCAAAGACGUGCCACUCACUGCAUCAAAAUAUCCUUAUCAUUUAAGGAGGCAACCUCAAGCUGAAGAUCAAUUACUAGAUGUGCCGGAUAUCUUCAGCAUCAGCCCUCCAGAUGCUCUUUCCAGCCUCCUGAUCUGCUCCUUCCCAAGACAGGCCGACCUGUACUUUGCAUCAUCUCAGGUCCCAUCCCCUGCCUUCUGGUUGGAUUCCACUAAUGGGAGGUAGUAGCAAGAGGUAGGUAGGAGACGUGAGGAUGGGAGCAGAAUGAAGCAGAGUGAGGUCAGAGGUCCCUCCCUGUAUGACCAAGGCUUGGCAGUAGCUCCUUCCCUCUGGAAAGGGCCACACAGCCCCCAUUAUACUAUAGCUACAGCUCUCGCUCUCUCUCUCAGGGCUCUGGUAGCUUUUCCCUUCUCUAUCCCUUUAAGCCAAUGGCUGGUAAGGAUCCCCACUGUUACUAGCCCUGGGGAGACUUUACCAUCCUUUGUUGGUUUCCCUUGAACCUAUCUACACCCUUGUAAGUAGCCUCUUGGUUAAACUCCCUGAAUAAGGCCCAAUCAAGUAUGCCUUCUGUUUCUUGUUGGGACCUUGACUGAUCCCUUCAGCAUAUCAAGGGUCUCCUUGGGGUGAUGCAGUAAAGUACAAAGGCCAAUGGGGAGUAAGUUAGAGACAAUGCAGAGGUAAAGCUCGUCCUUUUUCCCACUUUCACCUAUCAGCGAAAGAAUGCAUACAUUUAAGGGAGAAUGGUAAUAAACAAGGGCUAUAAGGAAUCCUUCUGAGAUUUUGUCCCAGGUCGUAAGUUCCUGGCCUUAAUGAUCUCUGGAUGAAAUGAUCCAGAGAGCUUUCUUCGUGCUCAUCAGAGUACAAGUGGUUCUUGCAUAAGUCAUCAUUUUGCUGACACUAAGAAAGCUAGGUAACUGUCUCUUUUCCAACAGAGGAAUACAUCUGAGUUUCUCUAGUGGUCCUAAACAAAACUAAGUGGGGACAUCCAGACAAACUGAGAAGGCUGAACCAUUUGGGGAAAAAAAUGAGAUGUUCAGGAUCUGUGGAGAGUCAGAGUUCCACAUAGGAGGUCAUCAUGGCCAGAAGAUGAUUGUUGUAUGAAAGAAGAUGUUGAAUCUAGGACAUGGGACGAAAACAAAACACCAGCCCAAAGGAGGAAGGACAAGGAACACACAGUGGACUCCUGAGACCUGGGGAGCAAGGAGUUAUGGCAGGCAGGCCCGGAGCAAGCAGCAGAGAUCCUUACUAGAGGCAACUGGUGGGAUGGAUAUAGGCACAUGGUCAACAUUAUAGAAGGGUCAGCAGCUGAUGUCAUUUUCCAGUCCGUGGAAAACAAGUGAAAAAUGACUAAGCUCAUCCUAGUAGAGCCAACAAAGAAGACCCACUCAGAGAGGGCAUGGGGCUCCUUACUGACCCCACAAUUAAGGCCCACAUUAGAUCCGCCUUUCUGAAUAAGGAAAGCCCAUCAGUGCAGGUUAGGAGCCCACGGGCCAGAAACAGAGGAACAGAAAUAAAGCAAACAUUGCAACUAAACUGAUUUAUUAUAAAUAAAGCUGGUGUCGAAAUGCAUUCUUCUACUAAGAUAAAAAGCCAUACAAUGAGAGCUCUUCAGGCAGCUCCUUCACAAAAAGGAAUAGCAUCCUCAUCUUGCUAUCAGCAUUUGUUUAAGUAAAACUACAUAAAGCCCAACAUUCCUCCAAAUAUCAAAGAUCAAAGAUCAAAAGAAAGGAGUGAGUCCCUGUUAGAAACUUGACUGAGUAUUUUCUGUGCAACUUACAGGUGAAAAAGCAAGCUUUUGAGUUCAUCUUUUCUUCCUUAUGUCAAAUAGCUCUUCCAUUGUCCCUCCCAAAUUCACAAUUGAGUCUAGUUAGGAUGGUGAUUAGCAAGCACCUAAAGUUGAAGCAGUGAGCAGUUAAAGAAAAUACACAUAAAAUGGGAAUGAAGCACACAGUAAGUCAGAAGUAUUCACUAAUUGAAGAUGGAGGACAACAUACACUCCUUAAUGAGGCAUGAAUUGUAGUCAUGUUGGAAACGAAGAGCAAGAGGGAGAGAAAGGCUGGAAGGCUCUCACUCCUUAAAGUGAAAGGAAAUUUGGGAAUUCGAUCUUUCUUAGAAGGCUGACCUUGACCAUCACAGUUACAUCAUCAGAAUUUGAAAACAUAUUAAUAUGGAACCUAUUAUAUAUAGAGUCUGUAGUAACACAAAGAUAGUACUUUUCUUGGCCAAAAAACAAUUCUUUUCCCAUGUUGCAUAAAAGAUCCUCUUUCCUGGAAUUAUUAAUUUAAACAUAUAUACGUUAGAUAUAUAUCAUAUAUAAUGAUGCAUGAUAAUUAUAUAUACAUGUGAUAUAUAAUAAUAUAUACAUGUAUGUGUUUAUAUAUAACUAUAUAACAUGAAUCAAUGUAUAGUAUCUAUACAGUUAUAUAUACAUUUAUAAUAUAUAAAAUGAAUGUCCAUACAGCUGUAUUUCUAUGUAUAGAUACCACCCAUUUUAUUCCUCCAUUCAUUGAAGAGUAACCGGUUAUCAUGUUCAAGGCCCUGUGUCUGAUGAUAAGGCAGAGGUGCAUAAGAUGUCUUCUUUAUCACAACUUAGUGGGAGAAGCUGACUGAUACUAUAUAUCGAAUUAAAAUACAAUAUGACAAAUGCCAUCAGAGAACAAUAUAAUUAAUAGUUGCCCAGUGUUCAUUUAGUACCUUGUAUAUACAAUUAUUAAAAUCCAUAAUACAUUAGUCUGUCUGGAAUUAUUACAUGUGCCCCCAUAAUCUCUCCCCCAGCUUCUCAAAGAGGAUCUGUGGAAUCUUUUCAUCUGGACCACAAUACUUAUCACAGUGCCUAGCAAGUGUUUGGUGUUUUAAUGAGGAUUAAAUAGAUAAUUCUAUGAAAGUUCUCUGAAAAAUAUAAAAUGUGACACACAUACAGACAGCCAUAAUUGUUUAUUCCGUGGAGUUAAAAAUAGAAAAACCCAUUUAAAAUAACCCCUUUAAAAGAUAAAAGAAUGCCACUAUUUUUCUUUACUAAUUAGAACAUUGAGAAGAAGGUAGAUAGUAUAUUAACACGUCCAGGCAAAAUACACUGAAAAGGACCAAAGUCUACUGGAGACCUAGUGGUCAGAUUCUACAUGUUUAUUUCCUGGAAAAUUGUGAAAUUUUCAUCAUCCUAAUAAUUGUGUUGUGACUUAAAAAAUUAAAGAAAUCACCACAUUCCAGCUUGUUUAGUAUUUCCACAGUGGAAAUAAAUGAUAAUACAGGUUUUACUGAGAGUUUCCAUUUGUUGAACACAGCGGGUAAGUUGGUGGCAGCUGAGCUCUGUCGAUGAGAAAUCAAUUUGGGUUAGACUGAUAAGGAAAUUAAACCGCUGUAGUGUAUCAGAAUGUGGUAACGUACCUUUAAAUCUUGGCCUUCGUGAUUUAUUGAAAAGAAGGAAGUGACUUAUUGGAAAGGAGGAAGUAAAGAAGAAGACAGCAGUGAGAGGAGUUAAUGAUGAUGAAAGAUGGAAGACAUGGUCGUGAAACCAGCCGGUUCCUUCCUUCAGUUUUUGCACCUGUGUUUUAUUGCACUUAAAGGGAGAACACCAAGGUUUGUUUUGUCUUAUUUUUUCUCUUCUUUAGGCAUGGGGGAAAAACUAGGGAAAGAAUGAUGGUAAGAUAGAAAUAAGAAGAGAGAGUUGUGAGUAAAAAUGAAAGAAUUAAUGAAGAGCAAAGACACAGACACCUGAGAACUUAAAAAAAAAAAAAAAGGAAGGAAAAAAGAAAAUGGGGCAGAAAACAGGCAGAAUUGGUCCUUUUGUGUAAAGUACCUUUUGCCCCAAAUCACAGGACAAAUACCUUGAUAAUGGUUUAAUACUAUGGUUUUCCUUCUACUACAUUAUGUCCAUCAUUCUACUUCCUGUUCUAAAAUGCUAAACACCAAGCACCAUCAUUCCCUCCUUCCUCCUCUAACCUUUAGUGUUUUCACAGUUUUCUUUAGGCAAGAAUUUCAAGACCAGAUAUCUUCAAGUUUGGAGCAAAUGGGUGGGAUUAUUUUUUCCAGAACAAGAACAAGCAAUUCCAUGUAGGAAAACAGAUGAUCAAAAAUUAAGAGUGGUCUGAACUGUUGGAGUCCCAGACACUCUGAGAUUUUAGAAAUGGCUGACUCAUAGGCAUCACCCCUAAAACUGGGAUAAAUAUCUCUGCAGGUUACAGAGUCAUAAAAAUGCAAUGAGUUAAUGUUCCUAAAGCCACCAGGGACAAGGCACAUAGCAAGAGGUCAGCAGUUGUAUUUUGAAUGAAGAUUUGUGCUUGAAUUGUUUUAAUAACUGAAGCAUUAAAAACUUAAAUUCUGUGGGGCGCCUGGCUGGCUCAGCCAGUGACUCUUGAUCUCAGGAUCAUGAGUUUGAGCCUCCUGGUGGGUGUAGAGAUUAUAAAUAAAUAGACUUUUGAUUAUAAAUCAACUUUUUUUUAAACUUAAAUUUUGUUUAAUUUGGGGAAAUGCUUAUUCUUUUUUUUAACCUUCUUAUUCUUUAAAACCUUUGAGAUGUGAAAUCCACAAAACCAAAGCUAUUCCAAUAGAGAUGUUCAAAAGAGUACUGAGAACGUCCCUCCUAAUGAAAACCUGAUCCAAGAUAUCCCCCUUUUUCAAAGGAAAAUCUGACCUUGCGCUCUUUUCUAGCAUCGUGACCUUAUAAUAUUUCCUGUCAAGAAAGAUCUCCAACCUUCUACUUUGUAACAUUCAUUUAAACAGCACAAGGCAUGAAGGCAUCUGUCCAACUUUCUCCUUCAGCCUUUUUCUUUCAGGCUUCCGAUAAGGAGAUAAAAUGGAGAUAGAGUAGGUAAAUGCUUGUACAUCUAGCUGUCUUGAUAGUGAAGUAUUGUAGAAAUAAAUUCACGAUGGCAAUUUCCUCAAAGGGUCAAAAAUGAGCCAAGUAAUUUAAUUUUAAAAGUGACUUUAAGACAGGAAAUCAGGAGUUGGUUUGUGAGUAACCCUGGGAAGGCUGAGGAUUGCGGUGAAGGCACAGAUCCUGCACCACCCCAAACUUAGUGAGGUCAAGCCUCGCAAAGGAAAGCUCGUAAGCCCUUUGUAGCACAAUAUCUUACUUUCAGGCCUCUGCCUGUCAGUCCUCUGCUCUGGUUAAUAUCAUCAAGGGAAUCCUUGCCUGACAGAAUGUAAUUUAGGAUCUAUUAAAUAUGAUUACUUGGCCUUGAAAAUGAUGGAUAUUGGACAGAAUUAUAGAAUCACUUUACAAAAGAAAGGUCUCUUUUACAUCCUUUCUUGUGGAGCCUAAAAUGAAGCCUGGGGAAAUCCCUCAGAGGGGUUGUGGCAUUUAUAGGUUAGGUUUAUGAAAAAGGGAAUUGAUAUUCAUAUUAAAAACUGUGAAAAUUGAGCAAGGUGAAGAUAGUGAGCAUGCAGACAGCUGUGACGUGUGUCUGAAGGGUGAGUGGCUUGUUGCCCAACUGAUUUACUUGCUUUAAUUAUAUUAGUAAUGUGAAAGUCGACAUGAUUCGAAACAAGCUCUUUGGGUUUUUCAUUCAAAUACUAGCCCCCAGUGACUGCUUUUUAUGGUCCUCCCAAUUUCCAAUUACUUAAAAUGUUCAUAGCUGAAAUACUUCAGAGUUCACUGCUGGGUUUGCUUUGGAGGUGGCCUCGGUUUGGGUUUUGAUUUAAUUACAUUUUGUUCCUGGUUAUAAAAGUAAUAUAUGGUCAUUGGAAAAACUACAAAACAUAAAAAAUUGCAAAGAAGAAAUUAAAAUCACUAAUAAUUCUGCCACCCAGAGAUUGUCAUUAACAUUUUCUGUAUACCUACUAGGAUUUAUAUAUAUAUAUAACAUAAUUAUAUAUAUAAUUUUUAUUACUUAAUUGAUGUAAUAUCAUAAUAUUGUUUACUAAAGUUGUUUUAACUUAAUACUGUAGUGUGACCAUACCCCCAUAUUUUAAGUAUCAUUCCAUAAGGAGAUAUUUAGUGGUUAUAUGCUAUUCAUUGUAUGUAUAUGCCAUCAAUUCUUUUUAAGUUUAUUUUGAGAGAGAGAGGGAGAGAGAGAGAGAGAGAGAGAGAGAGAGAGAGAGAGGAGCAUGAGAAGGGGAGGGGCAGGGAGAGAGGGAGACACCUGCCGCCAGCACAGAGCUCGAUGUGGGGCUCGAUCCAAGGAACCAUGAGAUCAUGACCUGAGCGGAAAUCAAGAGUUAGAUGCUUAACCAACUGAGCCACCCAACCCCCUAUGCCAUCAAUUUUUAAAUUGCAAUUGGUGAGAAUUUAGAAGGUCUAUUUAUAUUUUUUCCCAUUAUCAGAUAACUCUGUAUACCUCCCCUGUUAUUUCCUUAGGAUACAUUUUCAGAAGAGUUACUAUGUCCAACCUUUUUACAUGUGGCAAAUUUCUCCUAUCAUGCAAGGUCUAUAUUACAGUAGACUACAUCUUCUGACUAUUUUUCUUACCAGGACCAAAACAAUGAAGGUAGUAGAUAAAAUUGAGAUUAUCACCAUUGUAUUUCUAAUUGGUAAUGAAUUUUGUGUUAGGGAUAAGGUGGGAGCAGCAUUAGAACUUUCGAUUAUCUCAAAAAAAAAAAAAAACUAACACAACAAGGAAGCAGGAAGUGGGGAAUGCAGAAUUAUUGUUUAAUUGGUUAUAGAGUUUCAAUUUUGUAAAAUAGAAUUCUGGUAAUGGAUGGUGGUAAUGGUUGCACAACAAUAUUAAUGUACAUAAUACCAUUAAACUAUACAUUUAAAAAUGGUUAAGUUAGUAAAUUUUACAUUAUAUGUCUUUUACCACAAAAAAAAACAGAAAUUGGGGGGAGAAAAUGACUAAGCAAAUGAAAAAGAUCACCACUACUUGUGUUGCAGAGGAGCUCAUUUGGAAAAAGGAAAUAGGCCCUCCAUAUUCCAUGACAUGGUUCUGAUAUUAUGGUAGAUGAGGCUAUAAUCAUAAUUAACAUUUAUAUGGUACUUUACAGUUUAUAGGUGCUUUUGUACACAUAAUUUCAUUGACAUAACAGCCUCAUGAAGUAGUUGAUUAUCAUCAUUUUGUAUAUGAGAACUCUGAGACAGCUCAAAUAACUGCCCAAGGUGAUAUAGCUGGCAAAGAGCAGAAGCAAGACAUCAUUCCAGGGCCGCACCCCCUUGUUUAAAGUGUCUCCCAUGAAAUACACUACCAAGAUGGCGGCAAGGCUAUUGUGCUGGCAAAACUAUCAAGUGUUUUCAUUUGACAAGUCAAAUGUGUCAUUUGUAACUGAAAAGAGCAAACCUGUAAAUAGCACUUAAAAGACUUAGCUUAGAAACACUUCUUUCUGUAACAGCUUUGGAUAAGUAAUAAAACAGUAAUUUUACUAAUAUUCAUAACAAAUGAUACUCCCCACUGUUGAACCCUUAUUUCAUGUUUUUGGCACUUUUGGAUAUUGAGUUAAGUUUUUAAAUUCUCCCUCUCUAAUAUAUUUAUCAUCCUAAAGGGGAACACAUGCAACAUCACCAGGUAUCAGUGUGGCCAGGCAAGGUCAUACAUAGGGAGAGGAACUGAGCCCACAAUAAUUUAGAGUCAACAGUUUCUCUCUUCACUAUCUCCCAUCCAAUUAAAUACAAAAAGAAAUGUUACAUUUUUCCAAAUUAAAUAUUAGCAUAAACAUAGAUUUUUUUUAAUGUAGAUAUUCCCUUGCUCCCUAAAUUUUCUUCGCCUAUUUUUUGGGUGCAGGAUCUGAUCAAAGAUUAACAAGCUGUUAUUGGCUCUUAUAUCUAUCCAAUAUCAUCUUCAAUUUUGAUAGAUGAUUCCUCCAACUUUUCAAGAUUUCUUAGAGUUUUGUCUUUGAUGAUUCCUGAAUAAUUUAAUCUAACAAGCAGUAGUUUUGGUAAACAGAAAUCUGAUCUGUGAGAUUUAUUUUGCCUGUGAGCCCAUUUGUCUUUGGAAUUAAAAGUAUCAAUAGAUAUCAUGAACAUUUCUUGUUCUCAUAUAUUGACUAAACUCAUGCCUUUAAUACACUUUUUAUGGACCUGCUCUGUGCCUAGUUCUACAAAACUAAAUAAGACAUGGUUCCAUGGACUCUCAUUAUAUUAAUAAAUAGAAAAACUAACACAUACUAUUAAUUAAAAUGAAAUAGAGUAAGUGCAAUACUAUAAGUAUAUGCACAUACUCUGGGGUCACAGAAGUAUUAUAUUUGCUCCUAUGAGUAAGAGAAAGCUUCACAAAGGAAGAAUCAUCAGAGUUGGGACUAAAAGGAUGAACAAUUUUUCUUAAAGAAAGGGAUGGGAAGGUUUAUGCACAUAUAUUAUUUUGUCCCUUGUUUUAUGAUUAGAUAUUUUUCUUCGAUUAUAGUAUGAAAUCACACAAUAUCAUAUACUCUGACUGUAACAUUACAAACAUCUUUAGGGGCACCUGGAUGGCUCAAUCAGUUGAGUCCAACUUUCGCUCAGGUCAUGAUCUCGCAGUUAGUGAGUUCAAAUCCCCUGGCAGGCUCUGCUGUCAGAGCAGAGCCCGCUUUGGAUCCUCUGUCUCCCUGUCUCUCUCUGCCCCCCCCCUCCUUGCUCUCUCUCUCUCAAAAAUCAAUAAACAUUAAAAACAUCUUUAGAUUUCAUAGCAUUCUCUGUAAAUUCACCAAACUAUCAUCGUUCACUGCACCUGCCAUUGAGUAGAAUUCAUUGUUGAUCAAUAAACAUUAAGCUUAAUUGUGAAGCUCCUUGAUUAAUUUACCACUGCACUGGUAGUGUGAGGAUGCCCAGCUGCAGGGGACACCAUUUAUAUGAACACUUCCCUUGGGGUCCCUAGGCAGUCUUCUGCAUACUUAUGUAUUUAUGGUAUUUAUCUCCCUCUACUUUGUACACAAUUCUAUUUUAAUACUGCAUUUUCCUUUCCAGUUGAACUAUACUUAACGCAGUAGAAUUUUAAGAAAAAAAAAAUUCUUCCUAGUAUUUAUGAUAGCUACUGCUCCAGUUAAUUUGGUUAAAUAGAAUUUCUGGAACAGUAGUUAUGAUUUUCUAAGAUACUGUAUCAUCGCCUUUCUUAAUUUCUUAUGCUACUUAUAUAAUAUGGAUCACCGCACAAUGUAAAUCCCCAUUAUAUACUUGAUGUUGAUGGUUUCUGGUCAGUUGAUGUAUGCCAGGUUUUUUCAGAAAUCAUACCAGCUUUGAGAUUCCUGAGCAACUAUGCUGUAUAUUCUUCUUUAGCCAUUAAUUGAAUUUUGAAAAGGAAUUUGAUAUAUUUCUAAUUUCUUUUUUCAUGGUAAAUCAGGGCAUAAAUCAUCUAUUCUCUACAAUCCUGAAUGGUAUCAACUGUGCUUGUUCUUUGUUAAUAAAUAUUUCAAGUUAUCUUAAACUAUGCUUAGAUAUUUUUACAUAUCUCAAACAAAUGGAUAAUAGACCAAUAGUUAGAUGGUUCUCCUCUACAGUCUUACUUCUUGUUUUUUCCAGAGUUUUAUAUUGGAUCUCCUCUACCCCAUUAGAUUCCUUUAACUUUGAUCUGUCUGCCUAGCAAGGACUCUAAACAAUAGCAUUCUCCUUGAUUUAGAUUUUAGCCCAUCAGAGGCUGUGUACUUUUUGAAGAAAAGGAAAUUCACUUAAACAGAGUGGUUUGCACAUUAAAUAUUAGCUCAUAAGAAUGAGUUCUGCAGGACUUUCCAGCUCUAGGAUUCCGUGUGUAUAAUGGCAGAAUGAAAACAACAGAUUGUAAUUGUAUGAAUGUCAUCUGUGUUAUGUCAAAGAGAAAAACAACUUCGUCCUGAAUCAGAUCAAAUAGAACAGUCCAAAAAAUUUUAAUAGAGGUGAAAACUUAGCCAAUUAAUUGAAUUGGUUAGAUAUUAUUUUUCAGUGGUUAGAUAACACAUACUGAAAUUAAAUUUUCUAAAAAAAUAUUAAUUAGUACCUUCCCAAGGGCUUUUUUUUUUAAACAUUUACUUAUUAUUUUUAAGAGACAGAAGGAGACAGAGCAUGAGCAGGGGAGGGGAAGAGAGAGGGAGGGGGACACAGAAUCUGAAACAGGCUCCUGGCUCUGAGCUGUCAGGACAGAGCCCAAAGUGGGGCUCAAACCCAUGAAUUGUAAGAUCAUGACCUGAGCCUAUCAGACGCUUAACUGACUGAGCCACCCAGGCGCCCCAUUCCCAAGGGCUUUUGAAUCCCAUCAGAUUUAUUUGAUUUUUUGGAGUCUUUUGCAAUAUGGCACAUCUGUGCUGAGGGGUCUGCACAGAGUCAUGUGUGAUCUCCCCACUAUAAUAUUUCUGUGCGGGGUUUCUCACAUAUUGACCUGCCCCCUGACAAAACAGGAGGUCAUGGUAACUAAGAAACCAGUGAUUUUGCCCUGAACACAGAUAGAGGAAAGCAGAUUUUUCCGUCAGGGGAUCAGCCUUUUUCCAAUUUUUAGUGGAGAACUUCUCUGUAAAUUAUUCAGGAACAAACUGAGCCUUGGUCAAUGCAAAACCAAAAAUAUCAAUGAAUUAUUUUUUUAAGACUUGAAAAGAGCGGCCGCUUUCCUGCAUUCAGGAAAAUAUGUCCAUCUUCUUGUAAUUUAUAUGCAGUUGCAGGGAAUUGCCUAGAGUGUUUCAUUAGCAACAUGUUGUCCCCUGCAGGGGCAAUAAUUCACCUAGUACACUCUUAUUCUCUUCCUAAGCAAAUCUGGGGAUGAAUAACAAUAAUGAUUUUUAUUUUCAUUUCAGUCUUUAGAAAUCCUCCGUUAUUCCUACUCUGCUCUAGUUCUCUGGAAUGAUGAAUGAUGACCAUUUAUAACCUAGCAUACUGAAAGUGUCAUGAUCUCAUUGUUCGUGGGUUCGAAUCCUGCGCCAGGCUCGGUGCUGGCAGUGUGGAGCCUGCUUGGGAUUUUCUCUCUCCCUCUGUCUCUCUGCCCCUGGCCCACUCACUCAUGCGUUCUCGGUCUCUCAAAAAAAAAAAAAAAAGAUUAAAGAAAAAGAAACGCAAAUUCCCAGGCACUAUCCUAGUCCUGCUGAGUAAGAAACUCCAGGCCCUUCUGAGUUUUAUAAGCCCUCCAACUGAUUUUGAUAAUCGUUUGCAUAAGAACCACAAUUCUUGCUCUGCAGUACUGAUACACCUUCACUUCCUGUUCACUCUUCCUCCCACAGGCCCUUCAGCCUCAUUUCUUCCUCAAAGCUUCGUCCUGGCUCCUUCAACCUCCCUCUUUGCAUUCUUCCCCCGAGGAGAUCUCACUCAUCCCUUAGUGGGAUCUCACCCAUUUCUAAAAGAAAAAAUCUAUUGACAUGGAGUGAUCAUUACCUAAUAGCAAUAGCCUCUUCUGGACUUCUCAGUAAAUGCCAAAUCUCACCUCAGUGGCCUGUUCUUUUCAGAAGUUUCUCUAAUGCUGAAUGGACUCAUAUUAAACCUCUUAUCUGAUGGCAAUAAAAGUUAACCCUUGUUGAGCAAUUAAUAUGUACUGUCCCAAACAUAUGUGUAUAUUAUGUCAUUCAAUCCUCACUACAACUCUAUGAGGCAAGUAACAUUAAUAAUCCAUUUCCCAGGUAAGCAAAUUGAGGCACAAAGUAGCUAAGCAAGAGCUCAAGGUCAUACAGGCAAGAAGUAGUAGAGAGUAUAUUAAAAGCCAAUGGUCUAAGAGAUGAUUGUUACUCAGCAAGUAAGAAAAACCUAGUCUUAUAAAGCAAACAGGAAAUUAAGCACUUUUCCUUCUGCCAUAUGAAGACCAUAAUGGAAUUUUUCCUAAAAGAUUGUCUUAAAAAGCAGGAGAUGCACCUUAAAAUUUAUGUAUUCUAAAUUGGGGGGGGGGGGGGGNNNNNNNCCCCCAGGCAGUGACCUUUAUUACUAAGAUUUGAUUUGGAAGCCAAUUUUUAUAGCUCAGUUAAAAACUGCUAAACCCAGUCACUUAUAUAAUAGAAAUGCUGACGUGACCUUAAUUCUAGAGGUGCAAAGGGUAUAAUUGAAUUUAAGAACAAUGUACCUCAUCCAUUAAGUCAUUAAAUAGAUCGUAAUAAUCUGACACAUUUGGUAAGUACUACAUGAAAGUGGUUAACAAUGGUAUGCAAAUAAAAUGAGCUUACACGAUUAGCUGCUUGCUGUAUUUUCGGUUGUGUUUGCCAAAUAUAACAUUAAAUUACAAUACAGUCAUUUAGAAAAUGUUAUGGCAAUAUAUUUUAAAUGUUCCUGAACAUGAUGCCAACAUAAAGAAAGGGAAUGUUAGAAUCUCCAGGAUAUUGCCAAGUGCCUGUGUGUAAUUCAGAUAGCUUUAUAUUUACAGUUAAUAGAAUUAAACUUAAUCAGGAAUACAUCCUUUUGAACCAAACUUCUGGAGUUGCCCUGGUGAGAUAGUGCAUCUGAUUGAAAAGUAUAUAUAAAGAUGCCAACUAAAUGCUAAAGUCAGAUCAUUCCUCCCCAUAGAUGAAUAUUUGGCACUGCUGAGAAAAAACAUCCAGAUGUUUGGCAUCAUAUAGCCAAAUACCUAAAUCCGAGUGAAAUCAUGAGUUAAACACACACUUAGGGAAUUGAAUCAAUGGAGACAUCCAGUGAGGCUCGUUUUAGCUCAAACAAAAUAAAACAAAGCCAAAACAAAAUUUCUUGAGGGCAGGGCUAGAAAUCUGAAUUUUCAAUUCAUAUUGUCUCAAUUCUUCAUUUAAUCUGACUAUUUAUAGGACCAGUAAUGAAGCGUACUAAUCAUUUCAGUGUAAUAGAGAAUCCAGUAGAGCAAAACACUGGGCUUCAGAACUCUGACAAUUAUUUUAAUCAGAUCUUCUGUUUUAUUUCCUUAUGCAAAUGCUAAUAUAACAAAUAAGAGUUAGUAAAUAAUAGUAUAUCUAAUAAAUUAUCCAGGUUCUUACCUGCUGGUCACAAUAAUUGCUAAUAUAUUCAAAUGCCUUAUGUUAUAUUUAUGCAUGGGCAACAAGCCAUGGAAAUGAAUAUACGCAUUUAUAUAAGAGAUAUAUAACAUGGUGACAUAAAAAUCAAAAAGGUCAAAAAUCGCUGUCCUAGUAAAAGAAAUAAAAAUAAUUAAGGGUUUAAAUUGAAUAUAAGUGACUCAAUUAGUAGGAUAGAUCAAUUACAAAAAUGACUCCUAUUUUCCCCCUUCUUACUACAUGUCUGUACAUCUCUUCCCAUCAUGAUGUGGCAUUUAUUUGUCCCACCUCUUGAACUGAACUGUCCUGCAACUUGACCUCUAGAGUGUGGUUGAUAUGAGGGGGUGUCACAGUUAACGGAGGCCUCAAGAGACAUUAUGCACCCUCACUUACUCUCUUGUUCCUGUUCCUUUGCCCUGAGAAUAACUCUGAGCUAGCCUGCUGAAGAAUGAGAGAUCCUGUGAAAAAGAGCCAAAUCGUCCCCACUGGAGACAUCCUAACCCACCAGUUUAGCACAGAUACAUAAGCAAGACCAAGAAGAGCUGAGCCUGGCACAGACCAGCACAAUCCACCCCGCUGAUCGGUAAGGCUUAUGGCAAAUAAUAAAUGGCUGUUUAAGCCAAUGGCUGUUUUAAGCCAAUGCAUAUUUCUUAUGCAGCAAUAGAUAACUGAUAACAAUCAGUGUCAGACAAUAUUUCUAUAGCAAAAUAAUGCAAAUAUGGUUAUCUCUAAAUAUUAAUGAUUCUUGAAUUUACAUACAUUUGUGAUAUUUUUAGUGCACUGUCACAGUCUUGCUUGUGUAAUAAAGAGGACAAAUGUGAUUAUCCCAAUUUUAAAGAUAAGACAAUUAGACAGGAAAAUGAAAUCACACAGCUAGCUAUUACUGAGGUGAGGAGUAGGGGUAAGGAUAGAGUAAAGUGUAGAAUCCAGUUCUCUCUAAAUCCACAUCAAUUUCGAAUAAUCCUUAUGAUCUUAGCUGGCUUCACUGUGAAUUUGACUUAAGGAUAAAAAUAUCAGCAUCAUGGUACCCCAGCUAACAUGGCAGGUUCCAUCUUCACCAUUAGAAAAACUAGGGUAUCACUGCCUCCAAAAAAAUCUACUAAAACAGAAAAUGAAAAUAUCCCCAAAAACCCACAGGAAAUUUAAUAUUAAUUGUUGUUCUUGUUAUUAUUUUGUUGUUGAAUGUCUUAGGCUUCUGUAUUUAUCCUUCAUAGAGAUAAAAAGGGAGCAGGAGGAAAAUUCACCUCUCUUACUUUAAUGUCAAACUUUGAACUACUUAAUAAACCAAUUAAAUGAAAGAUUCAGAAAGUACCAAUCUUUACAUUGAGAUAACCACUGAGCAAUCAAUGAUAAUUAAAAAAAUCAAUUGGUCUUCUGUAGUAAUUAAAUUUGUCCACUUAGAUAUAAUUGAUAUUGUUCGCAACUAAUUAUCCAAGUAAAGGCUCUGAGGGACUCUUAGAGACUAAAAGAUUGAGCCAAAGAGUCUUCCUAAUUUGAAAUUGGACCGAAUGCCAUGUUUUCUCAAAAACCGAUUAAGUCUUCCCUAGAAACAUAGUAUUGAACAAACUCAAAUACAGUCAGGAAAUCAGUAUUAAAUUAGAGGCAGUUUAGCAUACUAUCUUGUACUCUCUGUGUGACCGAGGGCUAAUCACUUAACCCCUGUGUUUCAGCCCCUUCAUCCAUAAAAUGGAGAUAAUACCAAUGUCUACCUCAUGGAGUUGCUAUAAGCAUAAGUUAUUAGUAGUAAAAUAUUUAGAACAGUAAGAUGUGUGUUCAUGUCAUUAUUAGUUGUCCCUUGGUACCCUUUGGAAAGAAUGGACAGAUAGUCACCCAUCACAAGUUUAUUCCCAGGUUUUAUUCUCACCUGUGUCUAAUUCCUGUGGGCAGUUUACAUUCAAGGAUUACUUCCGCCCUUCCCAUCUUUGAGAAUCAAUUGUUCUUCUUGAGAUAAAAGGUGGCUAAAAUAGGGGAAAAGGAAGUUCACAUGUGCCGUGUGGCAUAUCUGAUUACAAGUUAUUAAGCCAAUCCUUCCCUCUCUCUCAUAAGCAAUUCAUUUCCCAGCACCAUAGGGGAGGAAUAAUAAAAUAAAAUACAGGAUGAUCUCAUCACUGAUGCUUAGCAUUUGUAUAUUCACUUAAAAAGGUGGCAGAGCAAUUUACUACAGCCCUCAGGCGGCCUAAAUGACAUGUUAGCAAGUUAUAUAGAUACGCUAUUACCUAUUUAUUCUGAGAUUCAAUGCAAAAAUGUCAAGGAGAUCCCUACUUAAGUACACUAAAUUACUGACUCCUGGGGCUAGAAAGUACUGGGAGAAGCUAUUAGCUAUUGAACCCAUCUCCUGGAUAAGAAUCUAUGGCGCGUAUAGAUGCGAACCUUUCCGAAAUCUAGAGAAAGCUAUUAAACUAUCUUCUACGUUAAGAUCCUCACUCUUCCAGGAAAUUCUUUUCAAGGUGUUCUGGCAUCAGCAUAAGUACAUGUGCAUUUGUUCUCUCAUUUGAUGGUAUGAAAACAGCUGGUGAGGCUUCUGACCCAUGCAGCAUUUCUUUGAAUUCUCUCCUUCAUCCCAAACCUGUAUUUCCCAGUACCAAUAGUGAUGUGGAGAAGAAAGGCAAAAGAAAUGUAGAUAAAAUUAAAUUUUCUUAUAACCUGCAGCCCACUGACAAAUACUGGAGACAAGCACAUUCCUCCAGGAACUCCCAACUGUCUUAAUGUUAAUGCUUUGCUAGAGGGAAAAACAACCUUAGCUUGACCACAGCUAGGCCUCCAGGAUCCUGUAAGUCUUCUUUAACAUAUGAAAGUCCUUUUAGAAACUUCCCUAUCUUUACCUCCCCCAACUCCCAAGUGUAUAAUCAGUUGCUCUUCACAAUCCCAGUGCAGGGUCCUGUCCCUGUGCUUUAAUAAACACCAUUUUCACAUCAAAAAUGUCUCAAAAAUUCUUCCUUGGCCAUUAGCUCAGAACCCUAACACUUCAAACCACAUCGAUAGCACAGCUUCAUCUGAAUAACAUCCACUUAUCCUAUAAGGAUUAUUGUCUUCUAUCCUAUAAGGUUACUGUCGUCUAAUAUGAGAUUAAAUUAAGAAUAUCCUAUACACUCUGGUUCUGAAAAUGCAGGAAUCAUCGCUUGAGCUUUGCAAUCCAACUAUGCCUUCUCUAACCUUCUAAAAUAUCCACCAGUCAAAUAAGCAUUAAUCAAAAAAAGUGUAUCUGAGGUCAGAUACAUCUCUAUUAUUACUUCCAAUAGUGAGUGAGUUAAGCUAUCUGGCCAAGAAUCAGAACUCAAGCAGAAGGCCAGCAACAGAUGAAAAGAGCACAGUUCAUGGUGUUGCCCAACCAUAAGGCAAGCUGAGGGCAAAGCACAAGCUAGCACUCCUCCCCGGUGGGACAUGUGUGAUAUUCCUCAGGCACUCCCUGGUGCCCAAGAACAAAGGAAAGGAAAGAAAACAAAUGGUUAACUGAUAGAGAUCAUAGUAAUGCAAGACAUGAGUCUUCAUCAGUGUACAUAUGUCUUAGUAAAUUACAAGAAAAAGGCAAUCUUAUCAAGAGCCUAAUCUCCAGAAACCUAUACACUCAGUUUCCUGGAGUCCUAAUAUCACUCUCCGCUCACUAGUGAUGUGGGGGAACAAAGGCAAGAAAGAAAUGGCAGGUAAAAUUAAAUUUCCUUAUAACCUGCACCCCGUUGACAAAUACGGCAAAUACAGAGUAUAAUAUUUCUCCAGGAACCCACUACUGUCAUAAUAUUAAUGACUUACUAGAAGAAAAACAACUUUAGCUUGACAAUAGCAAGGCGUCAGGUAUCUACUGAAUCCUUUUUAGCAUAUCAACUCCUUCUGAAGACCUCCCUUUUGUCUUUACCUCACCCAAUUCCAUAGUAUAUAACCAUUUACUCUUCAAAACCCCAGUGCAGAUCUUUCUGCGGGUCCUGUCCCCAUGCUUUAAUAAAAUCACCUUUUUUGCACCAAAGAUGUCUUCAAGAAUUCUUUCUUGGCCAUCAGCUGCUAACCCCCAUCACUCCAAAACCCCAUCAAUGGCACUUUGGAGCUCCUAAGUAAAUGCAAAAUUGAAUACAAGUAGAUGUAUGAGUAAAAUAUAACCAAAAACAAACUGUCAAGUUUUGGGGGGUUUUUUUUAGAUUUUAUUUUUUUACUGAAAAACAAUAUUUUUUCAGUGUAUAUUAAUAAAUAUGAAUUUUAAUGACAUUGGGAAGAAAUGGAGGUAGAUGCAUGUGCUCAAGCUGCCAUUUUGAAACCAUCCUCUUAAUACCAUAAUUAAAUAAUUAAUAAUUAAUUAAAAAUUCAUAAUUAUUAAUAUAGCCAGACAACAAGAAAAGGAGCUAGUAUCAGACCAGAAAGUUGCAAGAACUAUUAGACAGAAAAGCAGGAUAAAAACUAAAAGAGAAAACAGAAUAGGGAAAUCUGCAGCCCAAAUAAUCAAAAGGUAAGAAAAGUCUUUCUCUAGGAAGCCAUGGUCCUGGGGUAGCUCUUUCUGCCCAUGAGGCCUGUCCCCGUGCUUUAAUAAAAUCACCUUUUGGCACCAAAGAUGGCUCAAGAAUUCUUUCUUGGCCAUUGGCUCCUGAGGACCCCACUAUCACCCCAAAAAUUUCAUCAUGUAGCACCCACCUCUGACAGGCAAUCUCCACCUCAAAGUCUGUUUCCAGGGGACUGACCUAUGAUACUGACUUAGCCUUAUGAAAUAUACCUCAAGGAAACAAAAGAAUUGAUGAUUAUUUCUCAAUAAUAAAUAGAAAAAGAAUAAUGUAGUAAAACAAACACCAUUUUGCAGACUUCUAAUUAAAUAAUGGAUGUAGGUAGGGGAGCCUGGGUGGCACAGUCGGUAAGGCGUGAUCUCGGCUCAGGUCGUGAUCUCACAGAUUGUGCGUUCGAGUCCCACAUCAGGCUCUGCACUGAUAGUGUGGAGCCUGCUGGGGAUUCUGUCUGUCCUUCUCUCUGCCCCUCCCCUGCUUGUGCAUGCAUGCAUGCUCUCUCUCUCUCUCUCUCUCUCUCUCAAAAUAAAUAAGUAAACUUAAAAAUUUUUUUUAAAAAUUAAAUAAUGGAUCUAAGCAAUGAUCAUCUGGUAUCACAAAAAGAUAGACAACUAGAUAUUAUAUACCACAUAUUACCCACCACCAUCUACAAAGAACUCUUGCAAAAAAAAUUUAACCUGAAUUAGAUUACAUCUCCAUAUCCAACUACCAGUUUAUAAGUACAGGGACAGAAAGCCAUGUUAAAUAAUACUAUAGAGAUACAAUUUUUAAAAUCUGGAAUGUAGAAGCCUCAACCAGAUAACCAAAUUUCCUCAAUAAAUAAGGGAGGGAGAAACCCAUCAAUAUCCUAUCUAGUGUCUGAUCCAAAACAAUACACACAUAUAAAAAAAUCAUGAGACAAUCAGAGAAAUCUGAACCCUUAUUAGAUAGUUAAUAAUAUUAAAGAGAUGCUAUUAAUUGUUUUAGGUAUAAUUAUAGUAUUGCACAUACAUUUUCUGGAUCUUUAUCUUUUUACAGAUAUAUACCAAAAUAUUUACCAAUGAAAUGUUUUGAUGUCUGAGAUUUGCUCUAAAAUCAUUGAAGAAGUGGAGGUGAGGCAGAAUGGGUAAAGGUGCAGAUAAAAUAAUACUGGCCAUGAGAUGAUAACUGUUGAAGCUGACUGAUGAUACAUGGAAGUUCAUAAAAAUA